rnacentral:rRNA from 1 species
CUAAGAAUCUUCCGCAAUGGGCGAUAGCCUGACGGAGCGAUGCCGCGUGAAUGAAGAAGGCAGAAAUGUUGUAAAGUUCUUUUAUAAGGGAAGAAUAAGUUUCGGAGGUAAUGCUGAGACGAUGACGGUACCUUAUGAAUAAGCUUCGGCUAACUACGUGCCAGCAGCCGCGGUAAUACGUAGGAAGCAAGCGUUGUUCGGAAUUAUUGGGCGUAAAGGGCAUGUAGGUGGCAUGAUAAGUGUGGAUUGAAAUACCGUAGCUUAACUAUGAGUAUGGUCUGCAAACUGUCGUGGUAGAGUUUAGAAAGGGAGAUUGGAAUUCCGCGUGUAGGGGUGAAAUCUGUAGAUAUGCGGAAGAAUACCGGUGGCGAAGGCGAAUCUCUGGUCUAAAACUGACGCUAAGAUGCGAAAGUGUGGGGAUCAAACA